CAGUAGCCACGGUAAUACGUAGGUCCCGAGCGUUGUCCGGAUUUAUUGGGCGUAAAGCGAGCGCAGGCGGUUAGACAAGUCUGAAGUUAAAGGCUGUGGCUUAACCAUAGUACGCUUUGGAAACUGUUUAACUUGAGUGCAAGAGGGGAGAGUGGAAUUCCAUGUGUAGCGGUGAAAUGCGUAGAUAUAUGGAGGAACACCGGUGGCGAAAGCGGCUCUCUGGCUUGUAACUGACGCUGAGGCUCGAAAGCGUGGGGAGCAAACAGGAUUAGAUACCCCUGUAGUCCCUGUCUCUUAUACA
rnacentral:rRNA from 1 species